UCUCCGUAGGUGAACCUGCGGAGGGAUCAUUACCGAGUGAGCGCUCCGGCGCGACCUCCAACCCCAUGUUUUCCGACUCUGUUGCCUCGGGGGCGACCCGGCCCUCUGGGCUCGGGGCCCCCGGUGGUCCAUUCAAACACUGCAUCUGUGCGUCUGAGUAAAGAUUAAAUCAAUCAAAACUGUCAACAACGGAUCUCUUGGGUCGGGCAUCGAUGAAGAACGCAGC
rnacentral:misc_RNA from 1 species